GACGAACGCUGGCGGCGUGCUUAACACAUGCAAGUCGAACGGAAAGGCCCUGCUUUUGUGGGGUGCUCGAGUGGCGAACGGGUGAGUAACACGUGAGUAACCUGCCCUUGACUUUGGGAUAACUUCAGGAAACUGGGGCUAAUACCGGAUAGGAGCUCCUGCUGCAUGGUGGGGGUUGGAAAGUUUCGGCGGUUGGGGAUGGACUCGCGGCUUAUCAGCUUGUUGGUGGGGUAGUGGCUUACCAAGGCUUUGACGGGUAGCCGGCCUGAGAGGGUGACCGGCCACAUUGGGACUGGGAGACGGCCCAGACGCCUACGGGAGGCAGCAGUGGGGAAUAUUGCACAAUGGGCGGAAGCCUGAUGCAGCAACGCCGCGUGCGGGAUGACGGCCUUCGGGUUGUAAACCGCUUUCGCCUGUGACGAAGCGUGAGUGACGGUAAUGGGUAAAGAAGCACCGGCUAACUACGU
rnacentral:rRNA from 1 species